CCCUUAGAUGUCCUGGGCCGCACGCGCGCUACACUGAUGCAUGCAACGAGUUUAUAACCUUGGCCUGAAAGGUCUGGGUAAUCUUUUGAACGAGCAUCGUGAUAGGGAUAGAUUAUUGCAAUUGUUAAUCUUGAACGAGGAAUUCCUAGCAAACGCGAGUCAUCAGCUCGCAUUGAUUACGUCCCUGCCCUUUGUACACACCGCCCGUCGCACCUACCGAUUGAAUGGUUCGGUGAAGAUCUCGGACUUCGAUAUUUAUUCUUUAUUGAGUUUAUAUUGUGGGAAGUUAUCUAAACCUCAUCAUUUAGAGGAAGGUGAAGUCGUAACA
rnacentral:rRNA from 1 species